GCUGGGACCACAGGUGUACAUCACCUGUCCUAUUUAAUUUUUUGUAGAGUCAGGGUCUUGCUAUGUUGCCCAGGCUGGUCUGGAAUUCCUGGGCUCAAAAGUGAACUGCCCAACUCAGCCUCCCAAGGUGCUGGGAUGACAGGUGUGAGCCACUAUGCCCAGCCUAGAAUUGGUUUUUCUUAAACCUGAGUUUGACACAUGAACCCCACUUACAUAGAUAUCAGCACACUCUCACAGCUCGAGAGUUUUCCUGAAUCUCGAUUCUGUCCGUUCAAGGUCAAUAUCUAAGAAAGGGUCAGAACUGACCCUCCCUCCGUGAAGCCUAAGAGCAAAUGCAGCAGCAUCUCAGUGUAUGAGGAGACAAAGUAAGAAGGGUGGAAAAUACACACUGAAAUUCUAGUGCUAGAAUCAUAAUCACCAACACUUUAAGAGGGAAUCUGCUUUCCAAAAUAUGUAGCUGCUGGAUUAACUUCAAAGUCACCAGAUUCCACAGGCAGUAGCUCACAGGGGCACAGCUUUCUAAGGCCGCACAGCCCGGGACAGCGUAACAGCCUCAGGGCAAAGCAAACUAAACAAAGGCUUGGUUCUCUCAAGGACGAAGGUGCUCAAGUGUUUCCAAAUAUUCUUCUUCUUCUAAGUAAGUUAGAUGCCUCCUACAACACUGUUUAGAGUGCCAGUGUAUUCAGAAACAUGAAGUUGAAAAUACAUCUCAGGACCCCAAAAUCACUAAGGUAAAGGGACGUCAAGGUGAGGAAGAGCUUAGACCAAACCUGCCUCCCAUGCUCUUCCUAACAGAGACAGCUACUGGGGGUGGGGGAAAAGCCACGUACCUCCCUCACAACCGAUCCACAAGGAAAUUCCUCAUGGACAGAGGACAGAACUCAAAGUCACCAUCUGCACACGGAGAUAAAUGCGGAUCUGACUGCUUCCUCUGGAAAGAUGCACCAGAAAUGCAUUUGUCUGAUCUACCUGUGACCUGGAAAUCCCUCCCCGCUUCGAGCCGUCCAUCCUUCCUAGACUGAACCAACGUACGUCUCACAUGUAUUGAUGUCUCACGUCUCCCUAAAAUGUGUAAGACCAAGUUGUGCCCCAAACACCUUGGACACAUGUCCAGGACCUCCUGAGGCUGCCGCAGUGUGUCCUCAACCCCUCCUAAGGCUGUGUCUAUAACCUUGGGAAAAUGAACUCUCUAUGGAUCGAGGACUGUCGCAGAGAUCCUUCUGGUUUACAGGAAGCAUUCUCUCCUGCGAGUAUAUCAAUGAAAUCAUGUGGAAUUACAAAAUGCCACUUUAGUAAAAGCCAAAGGAAUUAGGGUUCUAUGUGCUUCAAAAAAAAAAAAGUAACGUUCUAUUUGUCAAUGGACCAUGAAGCCCACACCCCCUUUUGCAGUGAAGAUGUCAAAUGGGACGAGAGGCCCCUCCUGAGGAUGCUACCCUCUGACCCCACUUCCCAGAGUCCAGUUUCCUGCUGCUCAGGGAACAGCAACCCCAGCUUCACGGGGCUCAGGCCUCCAAACCCAACUCCCACCCAUGCUGGAGAAUCACCCCAGGGACUAGCUAAGUGGCAGGUGCAACUCUCACCUCACCCCCUUAAAGGGGAAAAGGCACCUUCCCGCUCCUCUUCCUGCUGGUGGGAACAGGGGCAGGAGCUGGAGGAUCAGGAGUCGGGCGGCAGAACGGAAGCAGCCUGGGUCCCUGCUAGUCAGAGUUGGCAAAUGCCAACCAUCCCCGACAUUCACUUUGCAAAUAAAUCCUUCUCUUUUGUCAGGUCCCUGGUUAUAAGUUUGCACCCAUAACUUAAAAAGAAAAAAAAAACUCAGAUAAAAAAUCGGUGUUUGGCUGACAAUAUUUCAAUUAUCUUGGGGCCUUGGGUCAAAUGAUGGCAAAACAGGAAACUGAACGCUGUUAUUCAGGAAACUACCUUCCAGCGCCGUCUACCCUCCCAGGCUGUCACCUUAUGGUUGUUUGUCUGCUAGAUGAUUAACAAAACUGUUCUGAAAACCUAGGUGUACAGAACAGACAAGAAGUCAGCCUGGGUUGAGGGGAAGCAGGAUAAGACCCCCUUCCCCGCAGGAUGGUGGAAGAGGAGGAACCUUCAGCACCUGGGUUUUCAGGAUGCUGGAUCUCUGAGAGCAUCUCUCACAGCUCAAGUACAGCCAGACCCUCCUCUGACACAGCCUGUUCAGGCGAAGGUGGGCACCUGCCCUAGAGACCCACAGCCCUGUGCGGGGCUCAGCUGGAGCUGAACUUGCCUCCCUUGGUAAGAGUCAGGGCCAGGGGUGGGGAGAGGAGAGAAGCAGCAGGCCUGAGGGCCACUGUGGAAACUCCAUGCCACGCUAACUCUCGUCUGAUGUGCUCCGGCCAAAGCCACGCUUCUCGGAGGGAGUUUCCCUUCACACAUCCGGAAAUCAUCAACAUCUAGUCUCCCCACAGAACAAAUCCUUCCCUAGGAGGCAGACGCUUGGCUGUAACACGGGGUAAUGAGGGGCGCGCCUUCGUGCCCACUCUGUAGUGUUUCCUGUUACCUAUUUUACCUUAAGCUACAAAUGAUUCCCGUUUACACGGGACACAGUGACACAGACAGCAAAACACAUGAGAUUCAGUGUGAUCCCACACCCGUCACUGCUGACCUCAAGUGCUUUGUUCGUUUUGCUUCUAGAGUUUGUAUUCUCUCCCGGGGUUCCAGGCCUGUGGAUUCAACCAACCAUAGAUCAACAUAUUUUUUAAUGUGUUUGUACUAAGCAUUCAGACUUUAUUAUUCAUUAAACAACUACUCGCAUGGAAUGUCCAUGGUAUAGCUGUUACGAGCAACCCUGACAUGACUGUCUGCAGGAGGAUGUGCAUAUGUCAUAUGCAAACACGAUGCCAUUUUAUUGCAGGGACCUCAACGCCCAAAGACCUUGGAUUCCAUAGGCAGUCCUGCAGCCCACCCCCAUGGGCACUGUGGAAUGGCUAUAAUAGAAAAUAUGGAGGUUUUAAACAGUUAUGUACUAAAUCUAAUCUUUUGUUAAGAAAUUAAUGUGUAUCACUUGUAUUAUUUGGAAGUCCUUCCUGGCCCAGAGACUUGACAUGUUCUUAUCUUUUUGUCCACGGAUCUAGCCAUUCCAGUAAGCUUGUUGAACACAAAUCAAUUUUACAAUUAAAUUCUUACAAGAAUCACACUCAAUCUGUAAGCUGCUUUGGUUUUUAAAGUGAAAUAACCAAUAGUUUUGCCAACCUGCUAUAUCAUAGAAUAACAGGAUAAAGCAGCCCCAUGGCAUGCAAAAACAUGGGGUUUCAAAGCUAACCAGUAUAAAACACGUUACAAACCCCUAAAUAUGAAAACGUUUUACACCAAAACAGAUAUUCCAGGAAAAAACAAGAUGUUCAAAAAAGCCCUUUGCAGAAAAGCACUUUCCCCUUCAUUUUUCACACGGUUUCCUGAAGCUUGUGUUUGGUGAUGACCAUGAACCAGAAGUAGCGUCCGCUGCAACUACUGUUACGGCAACACAGAAUAUUAAGGGAAAAAAAAAAAAAAAAAAAAAAGGCCGGGCGCGGUGGCUCAAGCCUGUAAUCCCAGCACUUUGGGAGGCCAAGACGGGCGGAUCACGAGGUCAGGAGAUCGAGACCAUCCUGGCUAACACGGUGAAACCCCAUCUCUACUAAAAAAUACAAAAAAAAAAAAAAAAAAACCUAACCGGGCGAGGUGGCGGGCGCCUGUAGUCCCAGCUACUCGGGAGGCUGAGGCAGGAGAAUGGCGUAAACCCAGGAGGCGGAGCUUGCAGUGAGCUGAGAUCCGGCCACUGCACCCCAGCCUGGGCGACAGAGCGAGACUCCCUCUCAAAAAAAAAAAAAAAGGACACAGCAUAUUUCCUAUUGAUGAGAACAGGUAGAGUGUUAUAAAAUGAGUGUGUCCUAAAGUCAACAAUGUUCAAAUUCUAGGUCUCCCACAGACACUAGACGGUAACCGCCAAAGCUUAUGUACCUGGCAACGUUCAAGGAGACCAAGUUCAGAGCUGUCACAAUGCAGCACCAUCCUCACGCGAUUAUCUCAGGCAGGUUUGAGGGCAAGUGCCCCCGUCACAGUGGGAAAGCUGCCCAGCCCAGCACUUCCUGAGAUCACAGACCUUCGCCUUCCCACGUCUUCAAUAGUUCCUUUACACCGGGAACCACACAACAAAACCUAAAACACUUCCUCAAAUCUCAAGACAGUCUUUAGAGCUCUUUUCCUUGCCCCUUCUCUUACUGAAAAAGCUUAUUUUGUAAGCAACCUGUAGUGCUUACCAGAGCUGGGGCGGGAGGAGAGCUAGUGUUUGGUAGACCGAGUUUCAAGCGUGGGGAGACCAGAAAGUUCUGGAGAUGGAUGGCGGUGAUCGCAGCACGACAGUGUGAACACACUUAAUGCCACAAAACCAUACACUUAAAAAUAGAGUGCUGUGUAACUUUACCACAAUCAAAAAACUGAGAAAAGUCAUCUAUAAUUACUGUCUCCAAUAUCUUCCAUCCUGUAAGUUACAUUUGCUUUCGGCAAUCCUCAGAGCAAUCAUGAAAAACUAAUACCCUGUCGUCUCUGAAACGCAAAGUCGUUCAAGGGCUUUGGUUAUAGGAAAGUAGCUGGAAAGCAAAGCGUCCGUUAGGCACAGCAGCCGUGAUAGGACAAACACACGGUAGGAAGGUGGUGGUCAUGCUACACACAGAUGGGAAGGGUGUGGGGAGCCACAACACCUGAUGCUUGGGAGGCACCUGGGCAGGAGCUGAGAAUGUACCAAACACGUUCGAUCAUGCAACAUUCACGGACCCCGAGUCCAGCCACCACCGCUGACAUCCACUGUGGCUGGGGUGUCCUCCCAGCCUGUGAUGGCUCGCUCCUUCGGUUAACUGCCUUAUCUACUGGUUCCUCUCCUCAUGGGCCUCUUUCCUGUCGUCUUCCUGUCAUUUUUCUGUCAGCAAACACAUUUCCUGUCAUUUUCCUGAACUGACAUGACAUUUCCUGUCAUUUUCCUGAACUGACAUGACAUUUCCUGUCAUUUUCCUGAACUGACAUGUCAUUUCCUGUCAUUUUCCUGUCAGCAAGCACAUGCGUCCAGCCUGACCUUGCUGAUGUGCUCCAGCGGCCCUGGACUCGAGCCGCACUGUUCCAUCAGUGUGGCAUUCGCGAGUUACCUCCUGGGAAAUGCCAGGUGAUGGUAACAUCAACCAGGAGGCACAGCUGAGAAGCAGAACGCAUGGUGCAGUGCCCAGAACGUCACGUCCUUGAACAGACGCUCCGUAUCUUCUCCUCUCCUGCCAGAGCUUCACUGUAGGAAGGCGGCCAUUCCUCCAGUGCUGCUACUUCCAACACCGGGGAAAGCAAGCUUCAGAAAUGAACGGUGUCAAAGAGGGAGGACCCACCAGCAGGGCUACCGGCAGCCAGACAACCGCAGCCCCAGCAUUCCCCAGCCACCAUGACUGACAGCCCAGGCUCCAGAAAUGCACGGCUUCAACCUUAGGAGUAAAAACCCUCCCAAUCCAACUAUUAUUUUCAACAAUGGGAUUGAGGAAUGAGGUGUUCUAACCCUGCCUCUCUCGACAGCACAGAUCAUCAGAUCCCAGUUCUUAUAGGAUUGGGGAGUGGGGUGGGGUGGGGUGGUUCCUAACCCUGCCCGCCUUCAUAGAAAAGAACUUGGAUAUGAUGACCUGUGCUAGAUUAGCACUUUGCUUCUGCCACAUGCAGUCAUCCUCAGCACCAGGAAAAGUCAGAAUCGUUGAGUGAUGACACCAAUACCAACACACGCCGUUCUGCGGCUCUGGUAACUGGCUGCACAGAUACAACCCGAUAGUGGUGAGGUCUAAAGACAUCACCAGUCUUCCCAAGGAUUGUGUUCCUGAAUAUUUUGCGUUUGGAAUAACGGUCUUCUUUGCCAGGGCUGAGCCAUGCUUCCCUCUCGCCUGUCCUCUGCCUUCACCAGCUUCGUGUGCGCUUCCGGACAAGUGUUUGUGCAGGUGCUAUCACUUAUUUCCACAGCGAGAAUAUACACAGACACCACACAGAAAUGGGCAACCCCGUUAGGAGCUGUGCAGGGAGAUCUAACUCAUCCCAUGUGCCAAAUUCCUGUUGCCAUGGAAAUUAAAACUAACUAAACUAACGUUGCUAUGAUCUCAUCUCUUACUGUACCACUAAAGAUCAUCCGGGUAAGAGGAAUGUGCCUCUGCAUAGCAUUCAGCUCACAUUUACAUGUCGGUUUUUCCUGAAUAUGGUUAUGUGAGAUAGAAAUCAGUAAGAUGGGGUGUAACAUACAGUAUAGGAUCGUUGUGUCUCCUAGCCUCAAACACUUCAAGAUCCUCAGAAAAUGAAGUUUAACUCUGGGGACGUGAGUUACAUAGUAACUUGUUUUGGAUACUAUCAUAUCAACACCAAAUAACUUCUUGAAUUCCUUUUUAAAUUGAAAAGCAAUUUACAAAGCACAAAAGCCCCAAUAUUAAAGAAUACAAUUCAGUCUUUUUAGCAUAUUCUAAAAGCUGCACAUCAACCACUAGUAUGUAAUUCCGGGACUUUUUCACCACAGGCCAAAGAAACCUUGAACCCAUUAAGAGUCAGCACCUGGCUCCUUCCUUCUACCAGCCCCUGGCAAUCACCAGCCAACUUCCUUUUCUCUGGAUUUGCCCAUUCUGGACACCUGUUGUGAGGAGAAUCGUACAGUGCAUGACCUUUGGUGUGACCUUCGGUGCUGACAUCUUUCACGUCUAAGGCCACACCUGCAAAUACCUCCAUCUGAAGUGGCAUCUUUUCUUUCAAAAACUGACAAAUACCUGGCCGGGUGCAGUGGC